rnacentral:rRNA from 1 species
AUACGGAGGAUCCGAGCGUUAUCCGGAUUUAUUGGGUUUAAAGGGUGCGCAGGCGGGAGAUUAAGUCGGCGGUGAAAUUUUUCAGCUCAACUGUAAAAAUGCCUUCGUAACUGGGUUCCUUGAGUGUAGAUGGAGUAGGCGGAAGUUUUGGGGUAGCGGGGCAAUGCAUAGAUAUCACGAGGAACUCCGAUUGCGCAGGCAGCUUACUAAACUACUACUGACGCUCAGGCACGAAGGCGUGGGGAUCAAACAGGAUUAGAUACCCUGGUAGUCCACGCAGUAAACGAUGAUUACUUGCUGUUUGCGAUACAAUGUAAGCGGCUGAGCGAAAGCGUUAAGUAAUCCACCUGGGGAGUACGUUCGCAAGAAUGAAACUCAAAGGAAUUGACGGGG